UCGACUCGAGCGCAGCGAGAGAACGUUGCGUCAGCAACGGCCCGCAGGGCGAGCUACGCAGUGGCGAGUCAUCCUCUAUCACCGGCAG
rnacentral:sRNA from 1 species